rnacentral:rRNA from 1 species
ACAAGUACCGUGAGGGAAAGUUGCAAAGAACUUUGAAGAGAGAGUUCAAGAGAACGUGAAAUCGCUGGAGUGGAACCGGAGAGAGUUGACGUAGUCAGGUAACUAAGUUUGCCAAAGUCGCUUAAUUGUGACGGCGGGAGAUGUAUGUUGCCUACGGCUGCGCUGACAGCACUGGCUGUGCGUUCCGAACCGUCUGCGUUGCCCACCUCGGUGGUGUCUUGCUUUCGGGUAGGUUUGUCGUGGCUAGUGUUUUAUCCUGCUCGCAGGGUGUCAGUGUGAAAGUCGACCACCUCUCCGACCCGUCUUGAAACACGGACCGAGGAGUGUAACUUGUACGCGAGUCAAAGGGUGGAAAACCCCAUGGCGAAAUGAAAGUAAAGGUCGGUUAACCGGCUGACAUGGGAUCUGCUUUUCGAGGCAGCGCACCAUGGCCCUGUCUCGUCUGCUUGCAGAUGGGCAGCGGUAGAGCGUACAGGUUGCGACCCGAAAGAUGGUGAACUAUGCCUGAGCAGGACGAAGUCAGAGGAAACUCUGAUGGAAGUCCGUAUCGGUUCUGACGUGCAAAUCGAUCGAUAGACUUGGGUAUAGGGGCGAAAGACUAAU